GGCACUCACCAGGCCCUAUUUUCGCUCCCUUUCCAGGCACUCUCUGAGGCCACAUCUCAGGCACAGUCCAGGGGGCCAUCCUUCCAAGUCCCCAGGGCACUCUCUUCCCAGUAGAUAGGACAAAUCUGAACUAAAUGGGUUUCUUACUUCCUUCUAGAAAGGAAGGUAAAGGUGAUCAGACACAUACAGUCAUGCACACCUACAUUAAGCUGUGUACACUUCAGAGAUGUAGAACCUCCGUGGACCUCAGUUUCCUUAUCCUGGAAACAGGGAUCCUGUACCCAUCUUGUAGAAUUGUAGUAAGCAUCAAAUGAACAGUUGCUCCAUAGAUAUUUGUUGUUGGAGGGGACUCGGUCCACUCAGGCUUGGGAGGAGAGGCCUCUCUUGGGUCCAGAUGUCACCCAGGUUUCUGUUUCUUCAGGACUUCUGCUCAACUCAAGUACAUGCAGUUCUUGGUGUUGCCUCCAGGGAAUGGCAAGGUGGGAGAUGUUUGAGGAAAGGGGCGGAAUGGAAAGGCUGGAAUUGAAGAGGAGAAGAAAACAUUGGAGGAGGUGGAGGUCUCCCACCACUGGGAACUGAGUUCUUAGUGGUGGCUCAGGGCAGGAUUUGUCCAUCGGCGAUGUCCAGGCCUCUGGAGUUCUUCAGCACAUGGAGGCAGGUGUGGGUUAGCGAAGCCUAGCCCCUGGAGCAUAAGUCCUCAGCGUGUCUUGUUUUCCCCCAGGUGGGAUGUCUGGAGAAGACAGGUCUCCACUGAUGACUGGCAGAAGGAAUUGGCACCCCCCCCCCCCCCCCCACGCAAACAGGUCUGGUCUCUGUUUCCUCUCAGGCCCUGAUGGGCGGUCACUACCAUCCAGUCCUUCCUCUCUGAGGCUUUCCUGGGGUAGCACUGGGAGGCCGUGGAGUUAGAGGGCAGCGAGCCUGAGCCGCAAGACCUCUUCCUGUUCAGGCUGUUGCCCGCUGCUGGACACUGGUGCGGGGCCCACGUGGGCGUGUGCUGUGGCCAUGGGGAGACCAUCUGCCUCGAAGGCCAUGCUCGUCAAACUCAAGAUCCACUUUACUCUGGCAGACCCAAAGCACCCAGAAGCAAACUAGCCUGCCAACUUGGUGUCAGUGGACCUGAACUUGACUGUGGAUAGGUGUGACCUCAGGCCAUCCUGAGUGGGCAUGGCGGCUUCAGAAAUGGUCAUUAAACUAUAUUGCAAAGCUGGAUUCGGGGUUCACUGCCCCUUCUAUUCGGUGUCUAUUUCUCUACCCGAAGCCUGCCGUAGGCUCCUCUCUUGGACCAGACUUAAA